CCAAACCCCCUUCCUCGCCGAAAUUUUUACCCAUUCAUUUUCACGAAAGCCAGAAACCAAAUAAAGGGAGGGAAAAUUCCCCCCUUUAUUUUCACGAAGAGCCAAACCCCUCCGUUCUCUCUCUCAUAAAAAAAUCGGCCGCCUCCGUGCUUCUUCUCUGAAGUUCGCCGCCUCCGUCGAAGCUCACCGCCGCCAAACCCCCCCGUUCUCUCUCUCUCUCUCUCAUUCGAAAAUCGGCCCCAAACCCGCCCGUGCCUCUUCUCUGAAGUUCGCCGCCUCCGUCGAAGAUCACCGCCGCCAUCGUCGGAGUUCGCCGCCUCCGUCGGAUCUCGCCUCCUCUCCUCCUCCUCCUCCUGCUCAACGAGGAGGAUCGUAAGAUCGGAUUGAUAUUCUGGAUGAAGCACAACUCAAGCCUGGUUGUAUUAACAGAAAAAUUGAGUUCCCUAACCCCUAUGAAGAUGUAUGAAUUUAUGCGUAACUAUCUAAUCUAACCACAUCAUAGUUUUUAUUAAAUGUUACUGCUGCUCCAUGACCUCCUGUAACAGUGAUGACCAAUUCCUAUCCUGUUCAGUCUCAUUUGGUAUUUUGAAGAUCCACUUAAGGAAGAUAAACUUGAUACGAGAGAAUGAUCUAAAAGAAGAUCGCAGAAAAAUGAAUGGUGCCUCUGCUGCAGAAUUUAAGG